GGUUAAGCGACUAAGCGUACACGGUGGAUGCCCUGGCAGUCAGAGGCGAUGAAGGACGUGCUAAUCUGCGAUAAGCGCCGGUAAGGUGAUAUGAACCGUUAUAACCGGCGAUUUCCGAAUGGGGAAACCCAGUGUGAUUCGUCACACUAUCAUUAACUGAAUCCAUAGGUUAAUGAGGCGAACCGGGGGAACUGAAACAUCUAAGUACCCCGAGGAAAAGAAAUCAACCGAGAUUCCCCCAGUAGCGGCGAGCGAACGGGGAGGAGCCCAGAGCCUGAAUCAGCAUGUGUGUUAGUGGAAGCGUCUGGAAAGGCGCGCGAUACAGGGUGACAGCCCCGUACACAAAAGCGCAUGUGCUGUGAGCUCGAUGAGUAGGGCGGGACACGUGGUAUCCUGUCUGAAUAUGGGGGGACCAUCCUCCAAGGCUAAAUACUCCUGACUGACCGAUAGUGAACCAGUACCGUGAGGGAAAGGCGAAAAGAACCCCGGCGAGGGGAGUGAAAAAGAACCUGAAACCGUGUACGUACAAGCAGUGGGAGCACCCUUCGGGGUGUGACUGCGUACCUUUUGUAUAAUGGGUCAGCGACUUAUAUUCUGUAGCAAGGUUAACCGUAUAGGGGAGCCGGAGGGAAACCGAGUCUUAAUUGGGCGUUAAGUUGCAGGGUAUAGACCCGAAACCCGGUGAUCUAGCCAUGGGCAGGUUGAAGGUUGGGUAACACUAACUGGAGGACCGAACCGACUAAUGUUGAAAAAUUAGCGGAUGACCUGUGGCUGGGGGUGAAAGGCCAAUCAAACCGGGAGAUAGCUGGUUCUCCCCGAAAGCUAUUUAGGUAGCGCCUCGUGAAUUCAUCUCCGGGGGUAGAGCACUGUUUCGGCUAGGGGGCCAUCCCGGCUUACCAACCCGAUGCAAACUGCGAAUACCGGAGAAUGUUAUCACGGGAGACACACGGCGGGUGCUAACGUCCGUCGUGAAGAGGGAAACAACCCAGACCGCCAGCUAAGGUCCCAAAGUCAUGGUUAAGUGGGAAACGAUGUGGGAAGGCCCAGACAGCCAGGAUGUUGGCUUAGAAGCAGCCAUCAUUUAAAGAAAGCGUAAUAGCUCACUGGUCGAGUCGGCCUGCGCGGAAGAUGUAACGGGGCUAAACCAUGCACCGAAGCUGCGGCAGCGAACGUAUCACUUAAAGCGAUUCAGCGGGUUACGAUUGACGGAGCGAAGCGACGUCAAAGCGUAUACAAAGUCGAGUCGGUUUAAGGAUACGUUCGUUGGGUAGGGGAGCGUUCUGUAAGCCUGUGAAGGUGUGUCGUGAGGCAUGCUGGAGGUAUCAGAAGUGCGAAUGCUGACAUAAGUAACGAUAAAGCGGGUGAAAAGCCCGCUCGCCGGAAGACCAAGGGUUCCUGUCCAACGUUAAUCGGGGCAGGGUGAGUCGACCCCUAAGGCGAGGCCGAAAGGCGUAGUCGAUGGGAAACGGGUUAAUAUUCCCGUACUUGGUGUUACUGCGAAGGGGGGACGGAGAAGGCUAUGUUGGCCGGGCGACGGUUGUCCCGGUUUAAGCGUGUAGGUGUGUGUUCCAGGUAAAUCCGGUUCACUUUAACACUGAGGCGUGAUGACGAGGCACUACGGUGCUGAAGCAACAAAUGCCCUGCUUCCAGGAAAAGCCUCUAAGCAUCAGGUAACAUCAAAUCGUACCCCAAACCGACACAGGUGGUCAGGUAGAGAAUACCAAGGCGCUUGAGAGAACUCGGGUGAAGGAACUAGGCAAAAUGGUGCCGUAACUUCGGGAGAAGGCACGCUGACACGUAGGUGAAGUGAUUUACUCAUGGAGCUGAAGUCAGUCGAAGAUACCAGCUGGCUGCAACUGUUUAUUAAAAACACAGCACUGUGCAAACACGAAAGUGGACGUAUACGGUGUGACGCCUGCCCGGUGCCGGAAGGUUAAUUGAUGGGGUCAGCGCAAGCGAAGCUCCUGAUCGAAGCCCCGGUAAACGGCGGCCGUAACUAUAACGGUCCUAAGGUAGCGAAAUUCCUUGUCGGGUAAGUUCCGACCUGCACGAAUGGCGUAAUGAUGGCCAGGCUGUCUCCACCCGAGACUCAGUGAAAUUGAACUCGCUGUGAAGAUGCAGUGUACCCGCGGCAAGACGGAAAGACCCCGUGAACCUUUACUAUAGCUUGACACUGAACAUUGAGCCUUGAUGUGUAGGAUAGGUGGGAGGCUUUGAAGCGUGGACGCCAGUCUGCGUGGAGCCGACCUUGAAAUACCACCCUUUAAUGUUUGAUGUUCUAACGUGGACCCGUGAUCCGGGUUGCGGACAGUGUCUGGUGGGUAGUUUGACUGGGGCGGUCUCCUCCUAAAGAGUAACGGAGGAGCACGAAGGUUGGCUAAUCCUGGUCGGACAUCAGGAGGUUAGUGCAAUGGCAUAAGCCAGCUUGACUGCGAGCGUGACGGCGCGAGCAGGUGCGAAAGCAGGUCAUAGUGAUCCGGUGGUUCUGAAUGGAAGGGCCAUCGCUCAACGGAUAAAAGGUACUCCGGGGAUAACAGGCUGAUACCGCCCAAGAGUUCAUAUCGACGGCGGUGUUUGGCACCUCGAUGUCGGCUCAUCACAUCCUGGGGCUGAAGUAGGUCCCAAGGGUAUGGCUGUUCGCCAUUUAAAGUGGUACGCGAGCUGGGUUUAGAACGUCGUGAGACAGUUCGGUCCCUAUCUGCCGUGGGCGCUGGAGAACUGAGGGGGGCUGCUCCUAGUACGAGAGGACCGGAGUGGACGCAUCACUGGUGUUCGGGUUGUCAUGCCAAUGGCACUGCCCGGUAGCUAAAUGCGGAAGAGAUAAGUGCUGAAAGCAUCUAAGCACGAAACUUGCCCCGAGAUGAGUUCUCCCUGAGACUUAAAGUCUCCUGAAGGAACGUUGAAGACGACGACGUUGAUAGGCCGGGUGUGUAAGCGCAGCGAUGCGUUGAGCUAACCGGUACUAAUGAACCGUGAGGCUUAACCUU
rnacentral:rRNA from 1 species